AAACACCGAAGUCAAGCAUCAUUGGGCGCGGUCAGUACUUGGGUGGGUGACCACCUGGGAACACCGCGUGCCGUU
rnacentral:rRNA from 1 species